UAUUCUCCUCUUACCAUUGACUGUAGCACUCUGCCAUCUCUCUCUCUUGCGUCCUCUACUUCUUUUGUAAAGGCAUUUCUUUGUCUUCUUCUCUUCGCUGUUCCAGUUCUACCUUGUCUCUAUGUCAUCUAACAACCUCUGCCACAGACUAGUCGGACAUCGUCCUCGUUUGUUCUCUUCUUCACGCAUGCUCUGCCUCUCUGUCUCUCUGCCACUUAAACUUUUCGUUUUUCUCUCCCCC
rnacentral:lncRNA from 1 species